CUCCGUUCAUUAUCAGUCGUAUUACCUACUGUCAUUAUUAUUAUUAUGACAUUUCGUGACAUCACCAAUUCCCCUUCCCCAUAUACGGUCAAUCAUGACCGUCAUUCAAGACUGACCGUGGAUGUGUACGAUUGAUAAUGACUGACAAUCAAAUUUUAUGACUGAUGAAAUUCAAACAUGUUUAUCAUCAGUUAAGACUAAAGAUGAUUGAAAUUCAUAAUUGAUUGUGUAUGUCUAUGAAUGAACAAUUUAUCAGUCAAUCAAGUCGAAUUGUGUGGAGCAGUUGUGUCUUUCUUGUCUUUCGAUCAUUUCAUAUCUUCGUCUAAAAAUGGCAAAUAGGUAAAUAAUGAAGAAUUUUUGGCGCGAAUUUAUAAGUUCAUACCGUAGUUUACUUGCUGCGUGAAAAAUAAAGUGAUUUGUACAAAAAUUCAUUUUAAUGCAGUUUAUUUUUAAAUUUAAUUUGAAAAUAUUUUUAAUUUUUUCAAUAAAUAUUGAAUAACAACUACACGAUACACUACGCUUUCAAUAGUAAUAAUUGUGUUGACUAAAAUAAAAUAACCGAAUGACUAAAGAUUGUCAGUCUUGAUUGACUGUAUAUGGUAAUUAUCAAUUGUCAGUCUUUACUGUCAAUCACGUUGAUUGUCAUUCAUGACUAACCGUGUAUGGGAGCUGAAAGCCAAGUUAAAAGAUGAUCCCCAAAUAUAUAAGUACCUAUACACUAUACAUACAUUUUAUUUGAUUCAUUAUAAUUAUGAUAGUAAUUUAAACAAUUUUUACAUAGUUACUUGACGUAAAGUAUUCAUAACUUGCAUACAAUAUUUAUAUGAAAUGAAUAAUUUUAAUUUAGAAAUCUAAUUUUUAAUGUUGUCAUCCAAAACAUUCAUUUUAAUAUGGUUAUACCACUAAUGUGACUCAAAGAAAAUGUGACAUGAAAUAAAGGUUGUAAUAUUAAAUGCCAUACAAUACUUACCUUCAAAGGUUCUAUAAUUAAUGACGGAAUAUCCUCAUACUAAUGUCCAUAAUAUUCCUGAACCAAACUGGUUAAAAUUAUUAGGAUUUUUAACAUGUCUUACCAUUAUUGAAGAAGUGUAAAUAUAAUAAUAAUAUUUGUAAAAACUUAAAUAUAUAAUCAUGUAAAUUAGUAAAUUAAAUACCUAUUCAUAAUGUUUCUGAAAUUUGUUUAUAAAAU